CUGUCGUAUUUUUCAAAUAACUAAUGAAAGUUGUUAUUUUCCUUUCUUUUCUGAAUGUAAUCAAAGGAUAAAGAUAAUACCAAGAAGACACUUUAUCGGAUAUGUUUGAAAGGAAUUAUCUUUAGGUAUGUUUGCAUGGAAGAUAAACUUAAAUUAUGACCAUAAGUUCUUGAGAAAAUAAAUGGUCUCCGUUAAAAAUAGCGGAAUACAACGAAUUCCAGGUGGCUGUCAUACGGAAGUCCUAUAGACAUAUCUUAUCUGUCUUCUUUGAAAAGUACAUAUAUAUAAAUGUGCCCAUAUGUAUAUCCGUACAUUGGUAUGUGUGAAUAUAUGGAUUUUCGACAAUCUCCAUACUUUUUUUUAUGCAUAAUUGUUUGUUUUUUAGAAAUGUCAAUUUUUAGGAAGCUGCUAUUAUUAAAACGAUGUUUGAAUAGCUCUUACCAGGCUAUCUAAUUUUUAUUGCGAGAUUGUUCGGUUGGAGGAUAUAUCUAUUGUCGAAAAUGAGAUUUUUUGAAAUAUGACUAUCAUUUUUUAAAUCUAAUAUUUUUUCAAAUAUAUAACAUAUUUAAAUAUUCAUCUUCAUAUAGUAAUAAUAUAACUUUUUAGCUCAUUUAAAAAUUUUUGUUUAAUUAUAAUUAUAAAAUAAUUUUUGUUUUUAUGAAUAUUAUGAUACGAUAUGAGAGAAUAUUAUAAUGUAUUAAAAUUAAAAAUAAAAUUUAUAAAAAUUUAUUAAAUUAUUAAAAAAUUAUUGUAUAAAAAGAUCGUAAGUAUUGUAUAAAGCUAUAUCUUUAAAUUCUUUAAUUUGUAUGCUAUUAUUCCAGAUUUACAGUUCUAUUAUCAUACGUGUCCGCACAUUUCAAAGCAAUGGAACAAAAUGACUGGCUCUUUGCUUUCACACAAUGGUCGAAAAGAAAAGAACGGAAGAAAAGCGCGGAAAACGAGCGAGCUAUGCGCAUCGCGAAUGUUUUGACUCGAAGCGAGUAUUCGUGAGCCUCGAAUGAGCGAAGAACUUGUGUCCCCAUUUAUUCCUGCAGCUGCGACUGCAAAAUCAGUGCACGGUUCGCCGACUAGAGGCCACGACUCGUGUCAGGACACCGAGGUCGUGCUUACGACCCCUCUUUCUUCGAUGGUGUCGUUGCCCGAUUAGGUACGCAAAGACAAGCGGAAAAACGAGGUUACAUCGAAUCGAACGUAAAAACAAUUGUUUUCCAUAUAUUUGUUUCUUAAUCCUUCUAUUGCAUAUUUGUUUUCUAUUUUUGAAAAAUAUUCGAUAAAAAAUCUUUCAUUUUUAAUUUUUAUUGCAUUUUACAUAUUAAUAAUAUAUAUAUCAUAAUUUUAGAAUUGUUUAAUAUCUAUCGAUAGUUUUUUUUUUAAUAUUGCAAACGAUAUUAGGAUACUUCUUGUAAUUUUUUAUAAUUUUUUAAACAUUAUAAUUUUUACAUUAACUUAUUUAUUUUUGUUUUUAAUUAAUAAUAAAAUUCAUUUAGUGAGAAAAUUGUUCAAAAAAGAUUUCAAAAAGAAUAGAUUUCAAAAAUUAGAUAAUUAAUUAAAUAUAUCAGAAGAUAUUAAUAUAUAUUAAUAUAACAUUAAUAUGAUAAAAGAAAAUUUUAAUAUUGAUUAAAGAUAUUUCAUAUAUUCUCAUAUUAUAUAGAAAAAAUGAUAAAAGAAAGCUUAGAUUAUUAGAUUUCUUCUAAGUUUAUUUAUUCUUGAUGAUUGGCAAAGAACAUCAUAAAAAACUCGUAAAGAACUUUUAUGGGGAAUGAAAAUGUGUAUUGUCAAUCGAAAAAAUUAUAGCGAAAUUAUAUUUAUUUCUUAAAUCUUAUUGAUAUUGGAAUUGAGAUCAAAAAUAUAAUAUUUUAUUCUUUGAAAUUUUUUAAUUAUUAGCACGAUUAUGAUUCGAUACAUAAAAAGAAUCCAAUUUCUAUACAAUAAUCUCAAAAUAUAUCUUGUAUUAACUUAAGUAUUUAUUUUUCAAUUUUAUUUUUAAUACUAUAAUCAAAAUGCAUAAUCAAAAUCUUUAAUUUUCAAGAUAUACAAAAUCAUGAUAAUAAAUUUAUAACGAAUAUAUAUUCUAAAAUUUGAUUUAAAAAAUAAAGAAAUAUGAAAUUUUUUUUACGAAAUGAUGGAAAUUAUACACGUGAGAACGGAGAUCUACAUCUUAUUUGCAUGAAAACCUAACGAGGCAUUGGUGGUCACGUGAGCAGAGCCCAUUCUUCAAACCAAAGAAUGAGACGGCUCCAGAAAAAGGGGGACGCUUCGUUUUCUCGAACGAACAAAACCACAGCCGGUAAAACGGCAUAAAAUAGAAGAGACCUGGAACAAAAUGGAACGAUCUAACAGCCUGCAGCAAGUCUGAUCUUAAUGACGACACAUACUGGCGGUCCAGUUACUGUUGGAUGAUCGUCUUUGACGUAAACCAGCACGGUUGAUUACUUCGAAACAGUCGGAUUGAUUGUUCGUGAAAUAUGAGUGAAACAAAAAAAAAAAAAAAAGAACGAAAGAGAGAUAGAAAGAUAAGUAAUAUGCAACAAUGAAAUAAAAAUGUUCUCUCUAGAGUAUACCUUGGUUUGUAUUAUACUGCACAUGAAAUAUAUCGAGAUGCUCCAGUUUCCUUUGUUUUUGAAAAGAUACUGAUAAACUAAGAACUAAUUUUUGACUCAAUAUUUCUAAAUAUCAUUUAUCAAUUUUUUCUUUAAUUUAUUCAAUUGUCGUCUCUCUUUCGUGAAUCCGUAUAUUUACUUAUAUAUUUAUUUCGUUUCUUUUAUAAAUUUUUUUGAAAUAUUAUUUAUUCGAUUGAAUGAUUUAAUUUUUGAAGAAAAGUAACAUAAUCUUUUAAAAAUUUCAGGAACUCUAUUAGCAUUGAAGUUACGUGCUAAUAAUGAUAAAUAUCAAGAAUGAAUACGGUAUAAAAUUUAUCGUGGUUUUUAAAUGGCAGCGGAAAUUAUCCUUUUAAAAAUUUUUUUCAAAUAUACAUCAUAACUAUGUGAUUUUUAGGACUUGAUGUAAUUUUUUAAAACUUCAGAAAUUACUGUGUUGAAGUUAUCUGAUAACAAUGAUAAAUCAGGAUUAACUAUGACGUAAAAUGUUACUGCGAUUCCAUAAAUGGCAACGGAAAUUAUCCUGAUCCUAUCCAAGAUAGAUAUCGUGGUGGUCGACGAUUAAUCAAAACACGAUACCGUUCACGAGGAGAACCGAUAUUCAAUUACCACAAAAUUAUCCUUACAUACUAAGAUCGUUGAGACCUGCUAACUGUAUUCCUAACUUUCUUCUAUGAGUUAGGCUAACGAUUGAGAGAAAUCGAUUAAUUCUUAAUUCUUGUUGAUUAAAAAACAAUAAACUGCAAGAAUUACCGUGAAAAUAUUUAAGUAAAUAGUAAUUUAAAAAAAGUAAUUUCUUUCUUUCAAUUAUAUUGUAUAAUUUCUUGUAUAUAAAAUUUUUGAACGAAUUCUACUAUAUAUUCACUUGAAAUCAACUGAAACACUUUACUUUAUAUAAUCAAAUCAAAAUAAUUUCACUUAUAUGAAUAUUAAUAUAUAAAUUAAAAGUAUAUAAAAUAAGUCGAGUUAAACUUAAAAUUCAAGGUAAUAUAAAUAAUUCUUUAUCCUCAAUUCGUGUACAAUUAUUUUUAACCGUAUGUCACGUUCAAUAUCCAAUCGAAUACGUUGAAUUUCUAGAAGAAAAGAAUCGGUAAUAGGUUUAUGCGAAUCGACAUGAGUACCCGGGCACCGUCGCCAACGAGAGGAAAGGACGAGGCACCGAAGGCUCCAGGGCAACCACGACGAGUCUCCGAAUCCGAUGUGCGCUCCAGCCCGAUCAAUAACACGGGGCGUGCACCACACCGAGCCACCCUCUUCCUUCUUGCCAGCUAGGGGUCCUCGUUUGGUACCCCGGCUGACCUUCGAAAUUACCGAUCUAUCGAACAGAGGCAACUUGGAAUUUUCUUGUUAGAGACAACGCCCUCUUAGAUUCUGGAAACAUUAUUAUUCUAAGGGCAGAAUUUAUUUUGAGAAUAAGCACGACGCCACAUGAUAUUCAAAGGGUCGAAUGCCGUUCGAGGACCGUUUCACUGUCGGCGACCCGUAUUUACGUACGAAGUGGCUGCCACUCGAUCCCGAAAUAAGUCCUCGCGCGCAGGCUGCGCACCCUAAUUCACUGGCCAGGCUGAUAUGCGCGUUAACGCCGCCAAUGGUUUUAAGCCCGAUGCUCGCACGCCUCGAAAUAGAGAUUAAAAAGCGACGCACGCAUGAGAAAUAGGAGAAAAAUGACGUGCACGAUUAUCGGGGAUAUGCGCUUGGCAACUUCGAAAUCCCCGCCUUUUUUCAGAUCAGAUAAAAACCAAUUUGUCAUUGGUUAUCGGAAACAGGAAUAUUUUCGAAAGUAACGCAUAGAUAAUUUUCUUGGGAACGGUGGGAAUAUUUUUGAGUUAUGAAAGUGGAAAGUGGUUUAACACGUUCGCCACGUAUAAGGUGUCUUGAAUUCGAGUUGUAAUAUAUUUUAAAGUACAGUCGAUCGCGAAAGUCUUUGUGUAUUAUUAUCUCGCAAAAAUUUAUUUUGUUGAUGAAAGUUUUUUGCGUAAAUACAUAAAUAAUAGAUUAUAUGCAGAGAUUGGAAUUUUUUUUCUCUUUUUUAAAUAUAAUUUUGUCUAGAAAUAUUUUUUGCAAUUAGAACGUUAAAGAUAUAUAAUGUUAUAAAUUUAAUAUAUACAUUCAUACGUAUAUAUAUAUAUAUGAAAAUUAUAUUUCUUGGAAAUAAUCGAUUAUUUGAAGUGACAAUAGUUUAUGGAAAUAACGAAAAAAUGAGGGGAAAAUAUGGUGUUUUCACAGCUGGAAAAAUAAAUGAUUUAUACCGAU